rnacentral:rRNA from 1 species
AUGGCCCCCUGCCUCUCUGAUUUAAUAAGUGAUCAUUCCCUUGAUUUCCUGGGUGUCCAGGAAACCUUGAAGAAAAACCUUUCCUCUAAGUGCAUGAGGAAACUGGAUCCUUUUAACACCUUUGAGUGGGUCUAGGUCCCCUCAUGUGGUAAGUCGGGUGGUAUCAUUGUGGGAGCUAGAAAAGACAGCAUGGAUAUUAGGUCAUACAGGAAAGGGAAGUACAUGAUCCAGUUGGACCUUUGUGAUAGGAAGAAAAAAACUGACUGGAGCCUCCUGGUAGUGUAUGGUCCAGCUCACGAGGAUAUGAAGGAGGGGUUCCUAUUAGAAUUGGAGUGCUUCUGUUCUAAUAUGGACCAACCUUAUAUUGUUGGAGGAGAUUUCAACAUUAUGAGGAAUAGUGGGGAUAAAAAUAAAAAGGUAUAUGGCCAUAAAUCUAUGGACUUGUUUAACUCUGUCAUUGAUUCCCUUGGCCUUAGGGAGAUCUUCUGCAGUGGGGGUAAAUAUACCUGGACAAACAACCAGACCCAUCCCACACUAGAGAAACUUGACAGAGUUUUGAUGUCCAGUGACUGGCAAGAUUUGUUUCCUUUGGUUACUGUUAGGAAGUUGGUUAGAGAAUUGUCUGACCAUAACCCCCUGCUUAUUUCC